GUUUAGCCCUGAUUGAAACGGCAUCCUUUUUUUAUUUGUAAUUUCUGCAUUAGCAGAAUUUACAAAUAAAAAAAGAUAUAGUGUAAAGCAGGAAAUAGC
rnacentral:sRNA from 1 species